rnacentral:siRNA from 1 species
UGGAGCCAUUCUUCCCGUCCACUC